CUUCAAGGAGCAGUAAGAUCCUUCCAGCGCUCCAUCACCUUCCGCCUGCCCCUGGGAAGUACGAAAGUCCGGUCUCUUGGAGCCGCUGCUUAGGCUUAUUGUCCUCUCUGGGCGCUUUGUCCUCUCUGGGCGCCUUGUAUUCUUGAUGUUGGUGGGAAGAAUAAAAGGCGGCUACAGUUUACCUGGAAGUGACAAACAUAAGUAUGUCAAUGGGACAAGUGUUUUUAUUCCUAUUUGGGAAUCUUCUACAAGAUCACACAGAUAGGAGGUGGUGAAAGGCCAGGAAUCACCCAAGCUCCGACUGCAAAAACUGCAAUUUUCACCCUGCCUGCACAGUUCCAUAUACAUGUAUAUUAACAAAUAAGUACAUGCUAUGGAGAGAAAAACUUUAUAACUAGUAUCAACGUAUGUGUCACCCUUGUUCCUAUAUUAACAUUUGCUAAUCUUUAAUUACUUGGCAGACACUGUAGUUAUUCAUUAACUUAUUGAACCUGCAAUGUGCCAGACAUUGUUUCAGAUGCAUGGGGAGGUUCUAAUAAAUACAUCUUGUUCUUCUAGAUCUUUUAUCCUACAGAAGAAAUACUGAUAAACAAUGAAUACAAUAAAUGGAUACAUACAUCAUACAUAAGUAUGUUUGAAGUAUGUACAUACAUACAUCAUACAGAAGUAAGAGCAGAAAUAAAAAUAGCAGAA